GCAUGGCGUCUCUGAACGUGACCGGCAGCGGACAGAGCAGAGCAGAACAGAGUAGGGCGGUGCGGAGCGGAGGACAAACAAAUUCAGAAAAACGAGUGAAAAUAUGAAGUAAAACCAACGUCUGGAUCGUCGCUUCGUCGCGUUGGUUUGUUAGAACGUGGAGAAACUUCAUUACUGUACGAGCCACGGUGUUAAAAACAAGCGUUGGAGCCGAGCACAGGUCUACUUGCAGCUGCUGCAUCCUGGAUGAAGACACCAACAUCACCUCACAGACCAUACAGGUGUCACCACUUCGUCCACGACAUCGUCCACAAUUGAUGAGACGUCGUCCAUGAUCGGAGAGACAUUGUUGAGGAUGAGGGAGACAUCGUCCACGAUCAGAGACAUUGUCCAUGACUCGUGGUGACUCGGUCCCCGAUAAGUCGGCAUUGCCGGCGUUCAUGGAGACAUUGUCAAUGAUCGCAGAGACUUUGUCUAUAAUCUCAGAAACAUUGUCCGCGAUCACAGAGACGUCGUCCAUGAUCACAGAGACAUGGUCUACGAUCGGAGAGACAUUGUUGAGGAUGAGGGAGACAUCGUCCACGUUCAGAGACGUUGUCCAUGAUCGCAGAGACCUUGUCAAAGAUGAAAGAGACGUUGUCCAUGGUCAGAGACAUUGUCGCUGCUUCGCAGAGCUCUGCGCAAGAAUCGGUAGUGACACUGUGGUUCCUCGAUUCGACGGCAUGACCGCGAUCAG